GGAUUUGAACUCUGGACCUUUGGAAGAGCAGUCGGGUGCUCUUACCCACUGAGCCAUCUCACCAGCCCCUACAAAUCACUUUUUAAAAAUGAAAACUGAUGGUAAACAAGAACAUUAUCAAGGAGGAGGAGGAGGGAAGAUCUUGACAUAGCAUAGGACAAAAUUGUAAAAACAGAAACAUAACAGGGUACUUUGUGAGAUCACAGAAAAGUCUGGGCAAAGUGUAAGAAGUUCAGAAUUCCUUCCGAGAUAAAGGACUGGCACCUGCUGAGGUCAGCUCGGUCUUUGAAAGUUUCAUUAUAGGACUGGAGAUACGUCUUAGUAGCAAGAGUGUUUGCCUAGGUAAGUUCAAGGUUCAAUCCCCAAUACUGAGUAGAGACAACCUUUCUAUAUGGCUUGGUGUGGUGGCGCUCACCAACAACUCCAGUACCCGUAAGGUAAAGGCAGAAAUAUGUAGGGGCCAACCUGGCUGACACACUGAAGCCCUAAAUCAAAGGAGACCUCUCCCCACUGUCUGUAAAUCUUGCUCCAACCAAGAGAUCAGAUUGGGUUUGAUGACUUCACAUCCUACAUAUAAGGAAACAAUGUAUUCAUGGAAGUGGUUCAUUCUGUAGGGAAAAAAAAGGAACAAUAAAUUUAGGACCCCCUUCUCCCUUUGUGUAUUUAUGUGUACAUAAUGUGUAUGUUGGUGUAUGUGUGCAUGUGGACAUGCGUCAGGUGCCUUCCUUGAUAACUCUCCACCUUUUAUACUGAGGCAGGGUUUAUUGCUGGACACGGAGCUCAUCACUGCAGCCACUGCAGCCGUCUACUGCAGCCCAGCUCUUGUGUCUCUGUCCUCUGAGUGCUUGGGAUUAUAAGCAGCCACUACGCCUGCCCACUUUUCACCUGAGUUUUGAGGAUCCAAACUACAAUUUUCAUGAUGGUAGAGGCAAGUGCUUUAUCACUGAGCCAUUUCCCUACCUCUGGUAUGUCUGUUUACCACAUUCAUGCAGUAUACUUGGAGGUCAGAAGAAGGCAUUGGAUUCCCCUGGAACUGGAGUUACAUGGGAAUUGAGUUCAGAUCUUCUGGAAGAUCAGCUAGUGCUCUUACCUGUUGAUCCAUCUCUUUAGCUCCCUUCCCUGUUUGUUUGUUUGUUUUUUUUUUAAGAUUUUUUUUUUCUGGGUGGUGAUGGUGGUACUCAGCACUUGGGAGGCAGAUGCAGGUGGAUCUCUGAGUUCAAGGCCACCCUGGUCUACAGAGUGAAUUUCAGGACAGCCAGAGGUGUGUCCGAAGACAGCUACAGUUUACUCAUAUACAAUCAAUCAAUCAAUCAAUCUUUAAAAAACAAAACAAAAUUGGAGUUUAAAUCUUCAGACUCUAUGUAAAGCCAGGCACAGUAAUAUUCACAUACUCACAAAUUAUAGAAGUCACCUCAUACCCACAAUAUUCAUUUCUAAAGGUUAAGAAAUUCACCAUCAAGUGGAAACCAAAAACACUAUACAGAAAAUUCCAGAAAUAAUUUCUACGAUUUAUUUAUUUUUUUUAAAUGUAUUUAUUGUUCUUUGUGAGUUCAAGGCCAGACUCAUCUGCAUAGCAAGUUGCAGGCCAGCCAAGGCUACAUAGUAAGCCUCCAUCUCAAAAAGACCAAAAAACCCAAAAGAAGAAAACCAAAACAAACAAUAAAUGGGACCAAUAAGAUAGUUCAGCUCAGCUGAUAAAACCAAGCCUGAUGAGUUGAGCUUGACCCACUCAUACACUCCCCAUAUGGUAAGAGAGAACCAAUACUUGUAAGUUGUUCUCUGACCUCUACAAGUGUGUCAUGUGUCUGCACAUGUACACACAAUCACACAAAAAAUAAAAUUAUGAUAAAUAUGUAUAAAUUACUGAGAUCUGAAGUAUGGCUAGUCAGGAAUUAGUAUGUAGGUAUAGAUAUGAUUCUUAAAAUUUAUUUUAAAAAGUGUAUCGUUAUUUUUUAAAUUCAUUUAAAAAUUUUCUACUGUGUGUGUGUGUGUACCAUUUGCGCAGGUAUUUUCAGGGUUCAGAAGAGGUCCUUGGAUACCAAGCAGAGAUUUAGUUGGUUGUGAGCCUCCAUGUGCAUACUAGGAACUGACUUCGGGCCCUCUGGAAGAGCAGCAAGCUCUCUUACACAUCAGCUAUCUCUUCUGCCCUCUCAUUACUUAUUUUUAUUGUCUAUAUUUAUUAGUAUUUUGCAUGUAAUGAGUUCAAUUAAAAUGUAGUAAAAAUUAACAAAAACAUUUGCCUAAAAAUUGAAGAGGUCCUCUUGAAUCACUUAAGCACAUAUAUGUACAUACAGCCAAUAUAAAUAAAAAUAUACAUAAAAUAUGUAUCUAUAGUUUUUUAAUUUUGUUGCCAACGCUUGGAGGAGGAAUCCAGGGCUCAGCAGAGGCAGAGUACACAUCCCCACUCCUGAGCCUAAUCUCUCCUCCCAGCGCUCACCCGUGCAGGUGGCAGGUGCCAGGUCCAUGAUGUGGAAGAACACUCGGCACACCCUUUAACGUGUAUCCAACGGC
rnacentral:lncRNA from 1 species